ensembl:lncRNA
CUGCUCUUUACUCAUGAAGACACACAUGAGAAUGGUGAAAAAAGAGAAAGGAAAAGCAAUUGCUUGUGGAUAUGAAACACGACUGUGAAAACUAGUUUUAUUUUAAGCCCUUGGAGAACAUUACAACGUGAGUCAAAGCCAUUUCCUACUACCUGUAGAGCAUAGGUUUGCAGCAAGCAUAAAGAAGCAAAUGCAAAAGGAGUGAAAAUGAGAGCAGCAUGGGUCUGCUGCGUGCUGCCAUCGUGGCAAAGGUCCGCCUGGGGCAGCUAAUGAGGCUGGAAAAAGAGCUUUGGAUGUUCCACGCUUAAUCUCCAUCAAAACUAGGUUUAAGGUCCUGUUUUCAUUUCGAAGGCUUCUGGCAGAGGUGGAGCUGAUGAAGCCACUGGAUUUUUUCUAUCUAGCGGAGACGUGAGGGAAGUGACUGAAGUGUUUCCAGGUGUUUUGACUUUAGGAGAGUCUUCAGCUCGCUGGUGGUUUGUGCUCCAGGUUCAGGGUUCGCCCACAGUUGCUGCCCUCCCGGGCUGCUCGGUGGCUGCUGAGUCUGUUGGCAGCCUGCAGAACCCCCGUGAGAGCCGAAAGAGCCUGGCUGUCCCACAGAGACAGUUGGAUCAGUGUAACCACUCCAGGCUUUGGUGCCAAAGUGCACGACAGCUCCAGGAAUGACCUCUGAAGAGGUAGUUUCAACCUCUGGUUUAUCUGUAAUUGCGCUGGAAAAUGAGCCUGAUGUGCUGACCUCUCAUUUUCACAUCCCCAGCUGUGAGUUUGUGAGGCAGGCUGUGUGUGUCUCAGUAUUAAAUAAUGAGAUGGAGUAACACAGGCGAUCAUCAUACGGUGUUCACACGUCUGCAAUGCACGGAGUCAGAGACGGUCCAACAAAGUGCUUCAGAAAAGGCCUCGCCUUUGGAUUUUUGUGGAGAUGUUGAUCUACAGAAAAGGUAAAUGCUUGGGAUGGAAACUGAGAUGUACUCAGCUGGUGAAAGCUUCUACCAAGCUCUUGGCAUUGACACUCUCCUCCCAUCAGAAAGACAAUACAAAUACAAACAGUUCUGGAUGAGCUGAAACUGAAGUGUGGAGCUUUUCUGGAGCAUAUUAAAAGAAAAGCCUGCUCAGACAUACCGUGGGAACUAAAGAGGCGUACGUGUCCAGCAACAGUUUGCUUCAUAGUGGAGACUGUGCAUGCAGGUCACAUUUCCCUCUGCAGUCAUCUUCUGGAUUGUGUUUAUCUAUGUGUCAGAAGUGAAAACACAGACAUAAGAACAUAAGAACACUUAACGUUUUCUUUUUUUUUUUCAUCUAGAUAAAAAGGGAAUUGAUUGACAUCUCAUAUUUCUGGGGUUUAGUGAGAUCAUAACUGCACUUUAAUUGGUUUAAUUACCAGAAUAUAAUAUUGCAGGUAUGUAAUGUAGACCUGUAAUAUAGUUAUACAAUGUACGAUAUGUGUUAUAUAUAAUAAAAUACAACAGGUCAUAUAACACAGUUUUCGUAAUAGUUAUUAGUAGGACUAUCAGUAGUGAAUAUUCAAUGACAUGAAUAGAAAUUUCCCAUGAG